GCUUGUUGGUGAGGUAACGGCUCACCAAGGCGACGACGGGUAGCCGGCCUGAGAGGGUGACCGGCCACACUGGGACUGAGACACGGCCCAGACUCCUACGGGAGGCAGCAGUGGGGAAUAUUGCACAAUGGGCGCAAGCCUGAUGCAGCAACGCCGCGUGAGGGACGACGGCCUUCGGGUUGUAAACCUCUUUUAGUAGGGAAGAAGCGAAAGUGACGGUACCUGCAGAAAAAGCACCGGCUAACUACGUGCCAGCAGCCGCGGUAAUACGUAGGGUGCAAGCGUUGUCCGGAAUUAUUGGGCGUAAAGAGCUCGUAGGCGGUCUGUCGCGUCUGCUGUGAAAACCCGAGGCUCAACCUCGGGCCUGCAGUGGGUACGGGCAGACUAGAGUGCGGUAGGGGAGAUUGGAAUUCCUGGUGUAGCGGUGGAAUGCGCAGAUAUCAGGAGGAACACCGAUGGCGAAGGCAGACCUCUGGGCCGUAACUGACGCUGAGGAGCGAAAGGGUGGGGAGCAAACAGGCUUAGAUACCCUGGUAGUCCACCCCGUAAACGUUGGGGACUAGUUGUGGGGUCCAUUCCACGGAUUCCGUGACGCAGCUAACGCACUAAGUUCCCCGCCUGGGGAGUACGGAAU
rnacentral:rRNA from 1 species